CUACUGACAAACACAAAGCUUGUUUGUGUGCAAAUAUAAGGCUAAAUAAAUGGUGCUAAAGUGUAUUAUGACUGUCAGAUAUAAUCAGGCAAACUUUUGUGGUGCUUAAAUUAAUUUUUUCAUUGAUUUAUUGAUCAAUGCAUUGAACAGUGUUUAUUAUUCACAAGUUGUCUUUUACUGGUAAAUCAGGCCUCAUAGCACAUUGUUAAAUAAAAUGGUUGACUAGUCUAUGUAACAGCUCACCAAGCUACUAUCUCUUUAACUCCUUAAUAAUGUUGCAUCAUUAAAGGUCAAGGGAUCAUAAUAUUAAUCUCAUUGCUGUAGACCAUUAACAUGACUGAACUUUUCCACAAAAUACUUAUGUUUACAAUGCUAUAACCCUUUGACUGCUGCGGCAACCUUUAACCCUGUAAAUGUCACAAGCUGGGAUCAUCAGCAUGGUUCUUGCCAUGGCAAUCAAAGAGUUAAGGGCUGUGCAGUGAUGUGUUUUGUGAAGGGUUAAAUGGCUUUUUAUACUAUUGCCUCUUCUGUGUUUGCCAUCAAUUCAUUGUGUUGUAAUUUAAAACAAAACUGUCAAUAAAUAAGAGAACAG
rnacentral:lncRNA from 1 species